CUUACUCUUCUUUUCUAAUAGUAUGACUUUGAAUAUCAAUUUCUACCCAUCUCUGUCAUAGCUUCUCUUCAGCCCUCUCUGAUUUGCAGAGAAGUGUAAAAAAUGAUGGUUAUCAAUCUCGAUAUAGAUUGCUGAAUAACUGGUCAGUAGCUCAAUAAAGAGCUAAGAAUCAGAGAUCAUUGACCUAAACCCCUUUAUAAAUUUGAAGAUAAGAGAAAUUGUAACUAAAUCAAAUUUCCCUAAGCAAUAGAAAACGAACCCAUGAUUGAGUACAAAGAGCUUUAGAUUCAAACAGGUCUUCUUAGUACCUACAUUUUUACCCUCUCUAAACUAUAAAAUUAAUUUGCACAGUUUUUGUAAGCAUUAAAUGUUAAGUAUCCAGUAUAAUGCCUGAAAUACAGUAGGCACUUAAUGUUAUUCUCCUCUCCCUGCUCUCCUAACCCCUGCCCAUGAUGAUAAGUACAAUGCAAUGGGAAUUUAGUCUUAGGGGAUUUGAGAACACUUCCCAGAAGCAUGCGUAGAAUUAGGAGUAGGAGAUGGCCAAGGAACAUCCCAGACCCAAGGAACAACAUGCAUUUGAGAGCAGUUCACAGAAUCUAGGUUAUUCUGUCAUAGGCCACAGAUAUCUUUUCAUAAUUGAUAAAGAAAAAGGCUUCCUUGCAGGUUUAUACUGUGGUGAUGAGUUGGAAUGAAAGAGUUGUCCCUCUUAAUGAGUUUUAGCCUUGAGUUUCUUGUUAAGCAUUUCAGCUGGUUCUGAGCGUGUUAGAGCAAAGGUGGUAUAGAGCAGUGGAUCUUAAAGUGGGGUCCACAGACCACUGAGGGUUCCCAAGGUCCUUUCAGGGGGUCCAAAGGGCAAAACUAUUUUCUUAAUAAUCUUAAGGCAUAAUUUGUCUUUUGCAGUAUGUUGACAUUUGCACUGAUGGUUGAAAAGUAAUGUUGGUAAAACUGCUAUCACCAAACUGUACUGGUUAGUAGUCACUGCAUUCUUCAUCGCAAUGCACUCACAUUAAAACCAGAAACAAAACAACAAAUAGAAAUAGCCAGUUUCAGGCCAGGCGUGGUGGGAUUACAAAGUGCUUGUAAUCCCAGCACUUUGGUAGGCCGAGGCAGGCGGAUCACAAGGUCACUAGUUCAAGACCAGCCUGGCCAACAUGGUGAAAUCCCCAUCUCUCCUAAACAUACAAAAAUUAGCCGGGUAUAGUGGGCACCUGUAAUCCCAGCUACUUGGGGGAAUUGCUUGAACCUGGGAGGCGGAGGUUGCAGUGAGCAGAGAUUGUGCCACUGCACUCCAGCCUGGGCCACAGAGCGAUACUACGUCUUGGAAAAAAAAAAAAAAAAAGCCAGUUUCAUUUGAAAAUAUCCUUGAUGAAGUAACAUUUAUUUUUCUAAAUCUCAUCUCUUGGUAAAGGACUUUUUAAGGGCCAGUGUGGCAAAAUGAGAAGCACACAUAGGCACUUGUGCUGCAUACCAAAGGACAAUGACCAUUUCAAGGAAAACUAUCUUGUAAUCAUUUGAGUGGCAAAUUGAGUUCACUGCUUUUUUUCAUGGCACCUUAUUUUUACUUGAAAAACAACUGACAGACAAGUUUUGGUUACUCAGAUUUGGUAGACAUUUUCUCGAUGAUGAGAAAACAAGCCUGCCACUUCAACAAAGCAUAUAGUAUUUGUUGCCAACAAUAAAAUUCCAACUUUCAAACAAAAACAGAAUUUCAGAAAACUUUUCAGUCAUUUUUGAUCACGUGAAUGAUGACAUUAACAAAUAUCACAAAUAUUAACAAAUGUGAUUUGUUGAUAAUGUAUAAGGAAAUGUG
rnacentral:lncRNA from 1 species